GUUGAGCAAUAACCAGUUGAGCUGGGGAGAAGCUUUGAGGCUGAGUUUAUCUGUGGGAUCCUCUCUGUCCUGCUGACUAGGGAUUUGCAUGAUGGUAGGCGAAUACAGGAGAAAAACCAGAAAACUAUUUGCAUUAGAGGAUGGUUGCUUCUGAAACUUGCCACCUGGAGGUUGAAAGCUGCUUUUCUUGGACUCCAUUUAAAAAUAAAAUGAUACAUUGU